rnacentral:rRNA from 1 species
AGAGUUUGAUCCUGGCUCAGGAUGAACGCUAGCUACAGGCUUAACACAUGCAAGUCGAGGGGCAGCAUGGUCUUAGCUUGCUAAGGCCGAUGGCGACCGGCGCACGGGUGAGUAACGCGUAUCCAACCUGCCUUACACUCUUGGACAGCUUUCUGAAAGGGAGAUUAAUACAAGAUGUUAUCAUGAGUAAGCAUUUUCGCAUGAUUAAAGGUUUACCGGUGUAAGAUGGGGAUGCGUUCCAUUAGAUAGUAGGCGGGGUAACGGCCCACCUAGUCUUCGAUGGAUAGGGGUUCUGAGAGGAAGGUCCCCCACAUUGAAACUGAGACACGGUCCAAACUCCUACGGGAGGCAGCAGUGAGGAAUAUUGGUCAAUGGACGAGAGUCUGAACCAGCCAAGUAGCGUGAAGGAUGAAGGUUCUAUGGAUUGUAAACUUCUUUUAUACGGGAAUAAACGGAUCCACGUGUGGAUUUUUGCAUGUACCGUAUGAAUAAGGAUCGGCUAACUCCGUGCCAGCAGCCGCGGUAAUACGGAGGAUCCGAGCGUUAUCCGGAUUUAUUGGGUUUAAAGGGAGCGUAGAUGGGUUGUUAAGUCAGUUGUGAAAGUUUGCGGCUCAACCGUAAAAUUGCAAUUGAUACUGGCAGUCUUGAGUACAGUUGAGGUAGGCGGAAUUCGUGGUGUAGCGGUGAAAUGCUUAGAUAUCACGAAGAACUCCGAUUGCGAAGGCAGCUUACUAACCUGUAACUGACAUUGAUGCUCGAAAGUGUGGGUAUCAAACAGGAUUAGAUACCCUGGUAGUCCACACGGUAAACGAUGAAUACUCGCUGUAGGCGAUAUACAGUCUGCGGCCAAGCGAAAGCAUUAAGUAUUCCACCUGGGGAGUACGCCGGCAACGGUGAAACUCAAAGGAAUUGACGGGGGCCCGCACAAGCGGAGGAACAUGUGGUUUAAUUCGAUGAUACGCGAGGAACCUUACCCGGGCUUGAAUUGCAGAGGAAGGAUUUGGAGACAAUGACGCCCUUCGGGGCCUCUGUGAAGGUGCUGCAUGGUUGUCGUCAGCUCGUGCCGUGAGGUGUCGGCUUAAGUGCCAUAACGAGCGCAACCCCUCUCCUUAGUUGCCAUCAGGUCAUGCUGGGCACUCUGGGGACACUGCCACCGUAAGGUGUGAGGAAGGUGGGGAUGACGUCAAAUCAGCACGGCCCUUACGUCCGGGGCUACACACGUGUUACAAUGGCAGGUACAGAGAGACGGUCCCUUGCAAAAGGGAUCAAAUCCUCAAAGCCUGUCCCAGUUCGGACUGGGGUCUGCAACCCGACCCCACGAAGCUGGAUUCGCUAGUAAUCGCGCAUCAGCCAUGGCGCGGUGAAUACGUUCCCGGGCCUUGUACACACCGCCCGUCAAGCCAUGAAAGCCGGGGGCGCCUAAAGUCCGUGACCGUAAGGAGCGGCCUAGGGCGAAACUGGUAAUUGGGGCUAAGUCGUAACAAGGUA